rfam:Trichodesmium erythraeum IMS101, complete genome.
AGGAGCCGGAUGAGGUGAAAGUCUCACGUCCGGUUCUGAAGACGAGCAGUUCUGGUGAUAGAAUUGCUUAGUUUAAC